rnacentral:lncRNA from 1 species
GGUACUAGAGUGUGGUGAGGUUGUGAGAGCAAUUGUAUGAGAGCUCUGAGUGUGUGUGUGAGGCCAGAGAUAGAGAGUUGAGAGUGAUUGUAAUCUGUUGUUAAAUGAUAAACAGAGUUCCUCCUCCGUGGACGUAGGCAUUCAGGCCGAACCACGUUAAAUAUUUGCCUCCUUUAUGUUCCUCGUCUCGCACCGGUCCCAACAUAAUGAUGAUGAAGAUAAUAAUCCAUUGACGUAAACAAUCGCAUUCAAACAAGUAUAUGAUAAAAAAGAAGUAAUAAAAUGGAAGCAGGCGGUCCUCCCUGUAAGCACUGCCGUUGCCGACAGAGCCAAAAUGAGAGGUUUUUUUUUUUUUUUGGAUAAACCAAAGAAUUGUAUUCAAAAUUAGCACAAGGGGUGCUAAACCCAAAUACAAAGAGAAAAGGAAAGAGAAAAAACAAAGCAAUACACAAAUAAACCCAUCUAUUUUAUGCCC